GGACGCGUGUUCUAAUGGUUAUGAUUUCCGCUUCACACGCCUUGCACGGAGAAGCCGCGGAAGGUUCCGAGUUCGAUCCUCGGCGUGUCCU